rnacentral:rRNA from 1 species
ACGGAAGGCAGCAGUGAGGAAUAUUGGUCAAUGGGCGGAAGCCUGAACCAGCCAAGUCGCGUGAGGGAUGAAGGUCCUACGGAUUGUAAACUUCUUUAGCCGGGGAGCAAUAAGCGCUAUGUAUAGCGUGAUGAGAGUACCCGUAGAAUAAGGAUCGGCUAACUCCGUGCCAGCAGCCGCGGUAAUACGGAGGAUCCGAGCGUUAUCCGGAUUUAUUGGGUUUAAAGGGUGCGCAGGCGGUCGAUUAAGUCAGUGGUCAAAUCGCGGUGCUCAACGCCGUCCCGCCAUUGAUACUGGUUGACUUGAUUCCGGUCGAGGCAGGCGGAAUUCGUAGUGUAGCGGUGAAAUGCAUAGAUAUUGCGAAGAACUCCGAUUGCGUAGGCAGCUUACCAGGCCGUAAAUGACGCUCAUGCACGAAAGUGCGGGGAUCGAACAGGAUUAGAUACCCUGGUA